rnacentral:rRNA from 1 species
GUGGGGAAUUUUGGACAAUGGGCGCAAGCCUGAUCCAGCAAUGCCGCGUGCAGGAAGAAGGCCUUCGGGUUGUAAACUGCUUUUGUACGGAACGAAACGGUCCGGGUUAAUACCCUGGGCUAAUGACGGUACCGUAAGAAUAAGCACCGGCUAACUACGUGCCAGCAGCCGCGGUAAUACGUAGGGUGCAAGCGUUAAUCGGAAUUACUGGGCGUAAAGCGUGCGCAGGCGGUUUUGUAAGACAGGCGUGAAAUCCCCGGGCUCAACCUGGGAAUUGCGCUUGUGACUGCAAGGCUGGAGUGCGGCAGAGGGGGAUGGAAUUCCGCGUGUAGCAGUGAAAUGCGUAGAGAUGUGGAGGAACACCGAUGGCGAAGGCAGCCCCCUGGGCCAAUACUGACGCUCAUGCACGAAAGCGUGGGGAGCAAACAGGAUUAGAAACCCGUGUAGUCC